UACAGAGGGGGCAAGCGUUAUUCGGAAUUAUUGGGCGUAAAGGGCGCGUAGGCGGCCAUUCAAGUGACGGGUGAAAUCCCUCGGCUUAACCGAGGAACUGCCUGUCAGACUGGAUGGCUUGAGACCGGGAGAGGUGAGUGGAAUUCCAGGUGUAGCGGUGAAAUGCGUAGAUAUCUGGAGGAACACCGGUGGCGAAGGCGGCAUCCUGGACCGGUAUUGACGCUGAGGAGCGAAAGCCAGGGGAGCAAACGGG
rnacentral:rRNA from 1 species